rnacentral:rRNA from 1 species
UACGGAAGGCAGCAGUGGGGAAUAUUGCACAAUGGGCGCAAGCCUGAUGCAGCCAUGCCGCGUGUAUGAAGAAGGCCUUCGGGUUGUAAAGUACUUUCAGUCGUGAGGAAGGUGUUAAGGUUAAUAACCUUAGCAAUUGACGUUAGCGACAGAAGAAGCACCGGCUAACUCCGUGCCAGCAGCCGCGGUAAUACGGAGGGUGCGAGCGUUAAUCGGAAUUACUGGGCGUAAAGGGCACGCAGGCGGUUAAUUAAGUUGGAUGUGAAAUCCCCGGGCUUAACCUGGGAAUGGCAUUCAAGACUGGUUAGCUAGAGUCUUGUAGAGGGGGUAGAAUUCCAUGUGUAGCGGUGAAAUGCGUAGAGAUGUGGAGGAAUACCGGUGGCGAAGGCGGCCCCUGGGACAAAGACUGACGCUCAUGUGCGAAAGCGUGGGGAGCAAACAGGAAUUAGAUACC